rnacentral:rRNA from 1 species
AUUGAACGCUGGCGGCAUGCCUUACACAUGCAAGUCGAACGGCAGCGGGCCUUCGGGUGCCGGCGAGUGGCGAACGGGUGAGUAAUGCAUCGGAACGUGCCAUUGAGUGGGGGAUAACGUAGCGAAAGUUACGCUAAUACCGCAUAUUCUGUGAGCAGGAAAGCAGGGGACCGCAAGGCCUUGCGCUCUUUGAGCGGCCGAUGUCAGAUUAGCUAGUUGGUGAGGUAAAGGCUUACCAAGGCGACGAUCUGUAGCGGGUCUGAGAGGAUGAUCCGCCACACUGGAACUGAGACACGGUCCAGACUCCUACGGGAGGCAGCAGUGGGGAAUUUUGGACAAUGGGCGCAAGCCUGAUCCAGCCAUGCCGCGUGAGUGAAGAAGGCCUUCGGGUU